GCUCAUGUCAGUAGGACAUACACUAAAACUGGAACAACGUAAAGAAGCUUAGCAUAUCCCCUGCACAAGGAUGACACCCAGAUUCAUGAAGUGUCCCAUAGUUCU
rfam:Fukomys damarensis contig87135, whole genome shotgun sequence.